rnacentral:rRNA from 1 species
GAUGAACGCUGGCGGCGUGCUUAACACAUGCAAGUCGAACGGAAAGGCCCAAGCUUGCUUGGGUACUCGAGUGGCGAACGGGUGAGUAACACGUGGGUGAUCUGCCCUGCACUUCGGGAUAAGCCUGGGAAACUGGGUCUAAUACUGGAUAGGACCACUUCUUGGAUGUUGUGGUGGAAAGUUUUUUCGGUGUGAGAUGAGCUCGCGGCCUAUCAGCUUGUUGGUGGGGUAAUGGCCUACCAAGGCGUCGACGGGUAGCCGGCCUGAGAGGGUGUACGGCCACAUUGGGACUGAGAUACGGCCCAGACUCCUACGGGAGGCAGCAGUGGGGAAUAUUGCACAAUGGGCGCAAGCCUGAUGCAGCGACGCCGCGUGGGGGAUGACGGCCUUCGGGUUGUAAACUCCUUUCGCUAGGGACGAAGCGUUUUGUGACGGUACCUGGAGAAGAAGCACCGGCUAACUACGUG